AUACUCACGUAAUCGCUGUAUAGACUUCCUAUACAGAGGAAAGUCCAUGCUCACACAGGCUGCGAUGCCUGUAGUGUUCGUGCUUGACGAAAUCAUAAGUCAAGGUAGCCAAAUUUGGCUAACGGCAGUGGAAAAUCCUAACUCACACGAUGAUAUGGAUGAAUACACUUGAAGGUGCCACAGUGACGGAGCCGGAUUGGAAACGAUCCGGGUGGAACGCGGUAAACCCCACGAGUGAGCAACCCAAAAAUAGGUAGGGGCAUCCUUGAUUAGGGAAUUGAACCGAAAAAGGGACAGGCAUUGGAAACAUGUCUGUAGAUAGAUGAUUACGACCGCUGUACAAGGCUGACCACCGCAGAAGUGCAGCGGAACAGAACAUGGCUUAUCGAG
rnacentral:RNase_P_RNA from 1 species